UAGCCCCCGGACACGGCGCCAGCUGGAUUAUCCCCCGUGUCAGGCCUGCCUGAGAACAGCCUUUCCUCGGGCUAAUUCCUUCCUUCCAGUGCCUGUAUCUGCUUUGCACGCACCCACCGCCCUGGUCUAGGUACUGUGUGCUAAGAGGCCAGUUCCUCCCUUCCUUUCCCAGGUGCUUUGUGCAGCCGGAAAGCUGCCCUGGCUGCCUCGCUGGGGAUUCACCUGGUGCUAGGGAAUUCUCCGACAUGAAGAUGGUUCCGCCACGUUCAUUGCUGGGGUAUCUGAAAGGGUUCCCGCCUGCUUUGCUGAAGGGGGGUGGCAUUGCCUCCUCUUCCUUUCCCACUGCUAGAAAGAGUUUUGUAGCCUUCCUAUGCGUUGCAGGGUUUGUGUGGGGUGCAAGACUCCCACCAAGAAUGUGACCCCAAACAGCUUCUAUUCUUUGCUUGGUUUCAGAGUAGCAGCGGUGUUAGUCUGUAUUCGCAAAAAGAAAAGGAGUACUUGUAGUACUUUAAAGAUUAACAAAUAAACGUGUUAGUCUCUAAGGUCCCACUAGUACUCCUAUUCUUUGCUUGUGCUUUUGGCCAGCCACAGGUUAUGUUCUGAUAAGUGACCCGGUGAAGUGAGUUUUUUGUAUUGUUCUUUCUCAACAACUUCCAGGUCCAAUUUGUUCACCUUACAAAUAAAAAUAUAUGUUAUCUCCACCUAGGAUCUGAGAGUCAGGCUGGAUUUUGCCUGUUGCCUGCAUCACUGCUGCUAAUAAAUAUUGGGCAAUCACAACUCCACCCUAAAGGAUUCUGUUGAUGCAUAUGAGAGAGAGAGAAUCCAGCUGCCUGUUCCAAAGCUGUGUUGGCUCUGCAGGGAUAACACAAAUAAAAUCUUAUUUGAUUCAGUAAGAUCUCCCUUGGACUCCUCCAAACUUGAAACCCUAUCAGAGUUAAAAUAGUGCAUUGAUUUAAGUUUUCUGUACACACUAAGCUUUUAAGUAAUAAAUGUUCAAACUAUUUAUUUGGUCUUUCUAUGUUCACAACUAUUCACUUCAGUCUACCACAGCUUAUUUUCUAUGGGCAAGAUUCUUAUUCGCACCCAUGUAAAAUGUGUAGUCGUUCCAGUGACAUCACUGGAGUUUUACACUGAUAUAAAUCUAGAUCUAGAGUAACUCCCUUGAUUUUGCUAGAGUUUACACAAGUGUAAUCUGGAGUAACUCCACUGACCUCACUGCUGAUUCUCCAGAUUUUACAACAGUGCAACUGCUAUAACAAUCUGUCCUUGAUACAGAGUGCCCACAAUGUUAAACAAAAAUUUUCUGAUUUCAAAUCUUUAGUAACUAUGUUCCACAGUUGCUGAACCUUGCACUGUCCCUGCUUGGGGGCUACCAUAACGUAGUUCUUAGUAUUUAAAAUGCAAAUAUUUUCUCUUUUUAGUAUUUUACUUUCUGAUUCUGAAGGGAGUAUGAGCUAUUCUGUCCACAAUGAGCUGUGAUUGUUAAAGAGGCAUAUUGUAUGGUUUAGUUGUACUAUUUAUCCUUUAUUUUAACCACCAUUUAUCAUCUGAACCAACCUUGCCCCAGACUACUCAGCAAGCUUUAGUUUAUACUCUCCCUAAUUGUGGUCUCUAGGUGCUAUGAAUAAUAAUAUUAAAGUCUUGUAUUCUC